AGAGAUUUAUGCAGAGAACAGCAUCAAUGGGAGUGAGCAAGUAGAUCUCCUUCUAAUACGAUCAUUAAAAAAAACAGAAGGGGUCAGGAGGAAAGGAACAGAGGGAACCCAUCUUUAAGGUCAGAUGAACACGAAUAUUCAUUCUUUGAGUCACAUUAUGCUCCAUGCCCCAGCAGAGACUUAUUUUUUGGUUGUCCACCCAAGAUGUUGUUUUCCUGACCGAAUAUGAGAAGGAUUAAUGUGAUACCAGGGAUGAGAGCCCAUUUCUUAGAAUCUUUGGCCUGGGUCUUUUUUAUUUGAACACUUAGGAUGUUAAGCAACAGAACAGUAGGAAUUGCAGGCAUCUGCUUCUCUGAAGGAUCUGCUUUCUGCCAACUUCACUCCCUCUCUUCUGAUGUUCCAAAGCUCUGGAGUUUGCAGGAUCCUCAUGACAACUUCCUCAAAGGCACUUUGCACUCCAGCCUUCAUUUUAGCACUGGCUUCUGGAAGCAGAAACGAAACAAGAGGAGUCAUUUGUCAAAUUCAGCCUCCCUGAACUCAUAAUCUUCCAGAGAGGUUGGCCUACAUUCCCAUCAAACUUAAAAAAAACAUUAUUAAUGGUUAAAAAAUGAUGGGAGUUAAUGCAUUUGGAUAGUGUUGCUUUAAAGAAAGCUUUCCUGCUAAGUGGCCUGAGCAACACUCUUAGCUCCUCAUCUACAUUUAAUGGGGGGAAAAUUGGGAUAAAAAGUGCUAUGGAGAUAGUUAUUACAAGUAAGUGUUACAGAUCCUGAGCUACUACAACACCAAAUGCAAUGCCAAGAAACUAUUUGAAGAGGAUACAGUUAAGCAGAAGACAGACAACAUAAGGCAUCAAGAGGACAUCUGAGAACCAUGGUCUGGAGAGUGGGGAGAGAGAGAUGGGGAUUUAACAGAGGAACAUUCAUUGUAGGAAGACAGCCAUGAUGAUUCUAUGGUAGACAGAACUCAAAUGGCAUCUGAUAGCACUUUUUCCAGCUAACACAUUAAAAGGAAUAAGUGUUAGCUGGAAAAGAUACUGCCAGAUUUAUUCAGAUAGAAGACUAUUAAAUAAAGUAUCUCUAAAACUAAAA